rnacentral:rRNA from 1 species
UACGUAGGGUGCAAGCGUUAAUCGGAAUUACUGGGCGUAAGCGUGCGCAGGCGGUUUUGUAAGACUGUCGUGAAAUCCCCGGGCUCAACCUGGGAAUGGCGAUGGUGACUGCAAGGCUAGAGUUUGGCAGAGGGGGGUAGAAUUCCGACGUGUAGCAGUGAAAUGCGUAGAUAUGUGGAGGAACACCGAUGGCGAAGGCAGGUCUCUGGGCUGACACUGACGCUCAUGCACGAAAGCGUGGGGAGCAAACAGG